rnacentral:rRNA from 1 species
GAUGAACGCUAGCGGCAGGCUUAAUACAUGCAAGUCGAGGGGCAGCAUGAUUGUAGCAAUACAAUUGAUGGCGACCGGCAAACGGGUGCGGAACACGUACACAACCUUCCAAUAAGUGGGGGAUAGCCCAGAGAAAUUUGGAUUAAUACCCCGUAACAUAGCGAUGUGGCAUCACAUUGCUAUUAUAGAUUUUUCGCUUAUUGAUGGGUGUGCGGCUGAUUAGAUAGUUGGCGGGGUAACGGCCCACCAAGUCUACGAUCAGUAGCUGAUGUGAGAGCAUGAUCAGCCACACGGGCACUGAGACACGGGCCCGACUCCUACGGGAGGCAGCAGUAAGGAAUAUUGGACAAUGGACGCAAGUCUGAUCCAGCCAUGCCGCGUGAAGGAUUAAGGUCCUCUGGAUUGUAAACUUCUUUUACUAAGGGACGUAAAAGGGCUUUUACUAAGUCGUCUCGACGGUACCUUAUCGAAUAAGCACCGGCUAACUCCGUACG